ACUUAUAUAAUAUAAACAAUUAUAUUUGACUUCCAAUCAAAAAAUCUAUAUCUUAGUAUAAGUA
rnacentral:tRNA from 1 species